AACGAACGCUGGCGGCGUGCCUAACACAUGCAAGUCGAGCGGGAAAGUUCCCUUCGGGGAGCGAGUACAGCGGCGAACGGGUGAGUAACACGUAGGUAACCUACCCUGGAGACUGGGAUAACCUGCCGAAAGGCGGGCUAAUACUAGAUAAGACCACGAGAGCUGCGGCUCUUGGGGUAAAAGGUGGCCUCUACUUGUAAGCUACCACUCCGGGAUGGGCCUGCGCGCCAUUAGCUAGUUGGUGAGGUAACGGCUCACCAAGGCUUAGAUGGCUAGCUGGUCUGAGAGGAUGGCCAGCCACACUGGGACUGAGACACGGCCCAGACUCCUACGGGUGGCAG
rnacentral:rRNA from 1 species